rfam:Rhizoclosmatium globosum strain JEL800 BCR33scaffold_1, whole genome shotgun sequence.
UGUUGUAUAGUGUAGUGGUGAUCACACUGGUUUUUGAUACCAGCAACCCCGGUUCGAAUCCGGGUACGACCU